rnacentral:rRNA from 1 species
UACGAAGGGUGCAAACGUUGCUCGGAAUUAUUGGGCGUAAAGCGCACGUAGGCGGCUUAGCAAGUUGGAUGUGAAAUCCCUCGGCUCAACCAAGGAAGUGCAUCCAAAACUGCUGGGCUUGAGUACUUAAGAGGAUCGCGGAAUUCCCGGUGUAGAGGUGAAAUUCGUAGAUAUCGGGAGGAACACCAGUGGCGAAGGCGAGUCCCUGGACAACUCCUGACACUGAGGCACGAAAGCUAGGGGAGCAAACAGG